CCCACCAUGCUUGGCGGCAAGGAACCGAAACCCCGGAAAGCCGAACCGCUAAUGAAGGAGGGCGACUUUAUAUGCGAAGCACUGAGCAACCGUGUCAGAAACGGAGGAGGAAUUCUACACUCUGCCUCUCUGUGCCGCAGAGUUUCCUGGACUUCCAUGAAGCUGGUUCCAAGAGAAAGCCUUCCAAGAAGAGCAGCCCCAAAAUGCAGACACUUACAAGCCUAAUUACUGCCACUAAAUAAUAAAAGAAGAAACUGCAUGGAUCAUCCUGGAUUUCACAAAGUACAGUGCCAAAUACAAGAUGUUCAUCUGCAUGAAAAGAAAAUCUCCAGCAUCAUGCACCUCACAGCAUCCCAAGCACCAUGAGCUAUUUGAUUCCAGGAGCUGACCUGGUCCAGUGCAGCUGGUUUCACGGUUGGGCUGUCCGCUUUUUGCUGAACCCUGGUCGGAGAUGGCAUACUGCUGACGGCAGGUUCCUCCAUGUCAUUGCAAAUGGCAAGACUUCAUUCUUUUCAUGGCUGAAUAACAUUCCAUAGAUCCUGGAGAAAUGAUGUGCCCUCCUGGGAAAUUAACCGUAUGAUCAACUACACUUGAAAUUCAGAAGAGCUGCCAGAAGCUGCAGUUGUACAGCAAAACACCUCAGUGCCCCUGUGCAGAACAGCGUUUUCCUGCUGCCCCACCCACAGUGACAGGAAGAAAAUCACCUGGAAUAUGAGGACCAUGUUUUCUAACAAACAAAACAGAAACAAGAUACAUGGGCUGACAAAGGACGUGGCAACAGGAUGGAAUAUUUUAAAUCAGAUAGCAGUAUAUAAGGAGGGUGGCAGAGUGGCCCUUCUCAUGCCUACUCUUUGGUGUUGGAGAUAUAAAACCAUGAGAUACUUACACAAGGAAAGGAGUGAUCCCUUUUGAUUGAGUUCCUUAGGAAAACAUUUCUUUUUAUACAUAGGUCCUAGUGGAUGUAUCAUAUGAGAGUAAUGUUUCCUAUCACAGAGGAAACUCUGCUCCAAGAAUUGUACCAAAAUGUCACAACCAAACUAAAUAGUAUCCUUAAGAAUCCUCUAUUUGGGGAUCCUGAUGACUUUUGUAACAUAAAAGCUCAACUUUUUAAAAGUCUAAAAUUAAAUAGGUGUUGAUAAAUAAGCAUUUUCAUCUUUGGGUGUUUAUGCAAAGUUGACAUGUCUUUCAACUCUUUUGAAAUAAUACGCUCUACCUC